rnacentral:lncRNA from 1 species
UCAAGUUUAAAUAAUAGGAGAAAUAAGUCUCUAGUGAACCCAAGGUGUGAAGAGUAAUUUUCUUCUAUUUGAUUAUCACACAAAUCCAAAGACCACAUCACAGUGUAACUAAAGACCAAACCCCAAAGCACAAUUCAAAAGAAGAGCCUAUAAAGCCCCAGUUGGAAUCCUCACAACCUUCACCACCUUGAGCAUUUGAAUAGGAAAUUUUCUUCCACCUCGGGGUCCACAUGGCUGUGGGGUAGAAGGUGAUGGCUUCAAAGGUUGAAUAUCUCCAUAAUAGAAACUCAUAAAAGACUUAUUUUUUUAUCUGCAAUGUUACUAUUUUAUAAGUUACCUUGGACAAAACUCUGCUUGUCGUUGGCCAUCUGGAGUUGACUCCACAGUGGUGCUUCAGUUUGUCUCGACCCUUGCGCAGAUCUUUCUUGGCCUCUUUAGCUUUGGAACACGAGGCAGUGCAGCAGGCUGAUGCAGUAAUGCAGGCGAUGGGAAUCUACAACACAUGCACAUAGCAGAGUCCUGAAGCAGCCACAUCUCCCUGAAUUAAAUUACUUGGUGGUCUUCAACGCCUUUGCUAUAAUAUCACAAGUUUCUGCAAUCGUACCAUUAAAAUAUCAUUCAUCCUUCCAGUAGAUCAAAAGUAAAUAUUGAUGAACGGUACAAAAUAUCCUUCUUCCCCAAUAAAUUUUGGUCACAUGUCCAAGUCUGAGCACAGCUGCACGCUCAUACAUCACUGUAACAUCUUGGCUUUUGCUAGCAUAAGCUGCCAGAAGCACUAUUCAACCUCGCGGUCUUCGUCCUUGGCCAUCGAAACGGAAGGCUCCACCCUUUUGCCUUGCCACUUCGAUUUGGAUGGCAAUAUUAUUUUUCUCCACGCAGCUAAACUACUAUAUCAGGAAGGACUCUGAGUUCUGCUCUGACCUUCACGUGAGUGAGA